rfam:Byssochlamys spectabilis No. 5 DNA, contig: PVAR5_00326_1.
GGUUCUUUAGCUUAAUAGGUAAAGCGUGUUCUUGAUAAGGAUAUGUUCAAUGUUCGAUUCAUUGAAGAAUCA